CCAGACUCCUACGGGAGGCAGCAGUGGGGGAUAUUGCACAAUGGGGGGAACCCUGAUGCAGCGACGCCGCGUGGGUGAAGGAGCGUUUCGGCGCGUAAAGCCCUAUCGGCAGGGAAGAAGGAGGACGGUACCUGACUAAGAAGCCCCGGCUAACUACGUGCCAGCAGCCGCGGUAAUACGUAGGGGGCAAGCGUUAUCCGGAUUCACUGGGUGUAAAGGGAGCGUAGACGGCGACGCAAGUCUGGAGUGAAGGCCCGGGGCCCAACCAUGGGACUGCUUUGGAAACUGUAAAACUGGAGUGCAGGAGAGGUAAGCGGAAUUCCUAGUGUAGCGGUGAAAUGCGUAGAUAUUAGGAGGAACACCAGUGGCGAAGGCGGCUUACUGGACUGUAACUGACGUUGAGGCUCGAAGGCGUGGGGAGCAAACAGGAUUAGAUACCCCAGUA
rnacentral:rRNA from 1 species